GUCACCUGCGUCCAAUUAACGUGCCUAGCACCUGUGAGUUAGCUUCCUGUUAGCUUCCUGUUAGCUUCCUUCUCUUUUGUGUUCCUGCAUGAAGUCUGACCUUUGGACACUUAAGCGGUGCCAGUCGUUGCACGUGAGGAUCCGCAGGAUGAGCGUGGCGAGAGCUAAACUAUUAGACAAGAAUUCUGGAGGCCCGGCUGUGGAUCGACGGCUACCCACUGUGAUCAUCAAGCUUCUCACCUGAAUUGCUGUAGGCGUUCAGUCGAUACAGUCGGUGUGGGUGGUGGAUUCAGGGCCUUCAGGAGCUGUGCAGAGUGGAGAUGAAGAGGGCCCAGGAGAGAGGAGCGAAGAAAGGGGAUUAUAAGAAAUGGCGGCAUGCUUUCUCUCUCAUGCAUCAAGCAAGUCGGGCAUAAAAUAGUCUGGUCGGAUGGGUGAUCAUGAACUGGCAGCGACAGGAAGGUCUACCAGAGCUAAAUGGAUGCCCAGACUCCACUUUUUUAUCUUCCCCCCACCUCACGUUACAGUCGUAAUUUAUGGUAAUAAUAUCCAUGGAAACAUUGGCGGGAAAAGAAGCAGAUGAGAAACGGGCGUCCUGGCAGCAUGUUUACAUUGCCUGCAUGAUUG